rnacentral:rRNA from 1 species
ACGGGAGGCAGCAGUCGGGAAUCUUGGGCAAUGGGCGAAAGCCUGACCCAGCAACGCCGCGUGAGGGAUGAAGUCCUUCGGGAUGUAAACCUCGUAAGCAUGGGAAGAAUAAAUGACGGUACCAUGCGUAAGCCCCGGCUAACUACGUGCCAGCAGCCGCGGUAAUACGUAGGGGGCUAGCGUUGUUCGGAUUUACUGGGCGUAAAGCGCGUGUAGGCGGUACAUUAAGUCAGCUGUUAAAUUCCCGAGCUUAACUCGGGAAAGUCGGCUGAUACUGAUGUGCUAGAGUGCAGAAGAGGCAACUGGAAUUCUCGGUGUAGCGGUGAAAUGCGUAGAUAUCGAGAGGAACACCGGAGGCGAAGGCGAGUUGCUGGUCUGACACUGACGCUGAGACGCGAAAGCUAGGGGAGCAAACAGGAUUAGAUACCCUGGUAGUCCUAGCCCUAAACGAUGUAUGCUUGGUGUUCGGAGUUUUAUCCUCCGAGUGCCGCAGCUAACGCAUUAAGCAUNCCGC